rnacentral:rRNA from 1 species
UUAAAUUGAAGAGUUUGAUCAUGGCUCAGAUUGAACGCUGGCGGCAGGCCUAACACAUGCAAGUCGAACGGUAACAGGAAACAGCUUGCUGUUUCGCUGACGAGUGGCGGACGGGUGAGUAAUGUCUGGGAA